rnacentral:rRNA from 1 species
AGAGUUUGAUCAUGGCUCAGAAUGAACGUUGGCGGCGUGGAUUAGGCAUGCAAGUCGAACGGGCUGGGCCUUCGGGCCCAGUCAGUGGCGCAAGGGUGAGUAAGGCGACGGUAACCAACCCCAUGGUCGGGCAUAGCCGCGGGAAACUGCGGGUAAUUCCCAGCGACGUUCGCGGCGGGCAUCCGCCGGGAACCAAAGCUCCGGCGCCGUGGGACGGGCUGUCGUGGUAUUAGGUCGUUGGCGGGGUAAUGGCCCACCAAGCCUGCGAUGCCUACCGGGCGUGCGAGCGUGGCCCGGCACACUGGGACUGAGACACUGCCCAGACUCCUACGGGAGGCUGCAGUCGAGAAUCUUCGGCAAUGGGCGCAAGCCUGACCGAGCGACGCCGCGUGGAGGAUGAAGGCCUUCGGGUUGUAAACUCCUGUCGAGGGGGAGGAAGGCCGGGCGACCGGCUUGACCGAUCCCUGGAGGAAGCACGGGCUAAGUUCGUGCCAGCCGCCGCGGUAAUUC